rnacentral:rRNA from 1 species
UACGUAGGGUGCGAGCGUUAUCCGGAAUCAUUGGGCGUAAAGAGCUCGUAGGCGGUUCAACAAGUCGGCUGUGAAAGUCCGGGGCUCAACCCCGGAAUUGCAGUCGAUACUGUUGUGACUUGAGUCCGGUAGAGGAGAAUGGAAUUCCCGGUGUAGCGGUGGAAUGCGCAGAUAUCGGGAGGAACACCAGUAGCGAAGGC